rnacentral:rRNA from 1 species
AGUGAACGCUGGCGGUAGGCCUAACACAUGCAAGUCGAACGGCAGCACAGUAAGAGCUUGCUCUUACGGGUGGCGAGUGGCGGACGGGUGAGGAAUACAUCGGAAUCUACUUUUUCGUGGGGGAUAACGUAGGGAAACUUACGCUAAUACCGCAUACGACCUACGGGUGAAAGCAGGGGAUCUUCGGACUUUGCGCGAUUGAAUGAGCCGAUGUCGGAUUAGCUAGUUGGCGGGGUAAAGGCCCACCAAGGCGACGAUCCGUAGCUGGUCUGAGAGGAUGAUCAGCCACACUGGAACUGAGACACGGUCCAGACUCCUACGGGAGGCAGCAGUGGGGAAUAUUGGACAAUGGGCGCAAGCCUGAUCCAGCCAUACCGCGUGGGUGAAGAAGGCCUUCGGGUUGUAAAGCCCUUUUGUUGGGAAAGAAAAGCAGCAGGUUAAUACCCCGCUGUUCUGACGGUACCCAAAGAAUAAGCACCGGCUAACUGCGU